CACGCAAAACAACAGAUGGGAUUGGAGCUAAGAAAUGGAAGUGGACACUCAGAAUGUCUUCUGGGGCUUCCUACUGGUUCACUGGUGGGUGUCCUGAUCGUAGCCACAGCCCACCCUGCUAUCUGCUGUCCUCUCAUACUGUGGAAAAAAAGUGAAGGUCAGUUUUUCACACCAGAAGUUAGGAGAGAGAACGAUGAACUAAAGCAGCCUUCACGUCUGGUGUGUCAGAAGUCUCAGGUGUGAAAACAGAACACAAGAGGACAGCGCCAUGGGAUGGAAGUGGAAGAUGAAUGUCAGAGCUAUCACCCUGUAGUAACUGGUAUGAAACAAAUCGUUCUUCCCAUGCCACCCAGGCGCCCGCAGUGCAGCGCCGCUGCUGCCCUGGCUGCCGGCAGCGCUCGGCUGUGCCGUGCCGCACGCUAGCUGGGCUUUGCACUGCUGA